GCAUCCUGGAGGAGAACACAGGUCUGUUCUGUACAGCUUCCUUCCCUCUUUUUCUCUUCCCUCUUUCCAGGAAAGAAGUCUGUGAAAGCUGAGCUGAAUUUUAAAAGCAAAUCCCAACAGCAGCACCAAUGCCCUCAUUGAAAAUUACAUUCUCGACACCUAAGAUCCCAUACAGGUAAGGAAUUGUGUGUGUUAAAUCCUGUACAAUUAGUCUGUGCUCCUGCUGCUGUUUGGCUGCUGCUGAUAUUCUCUGUAGUGUCUCCAUGUGCACACAAGACUUCCAGAUGUAGCAUUUCUUAAUUUAGUAUUUUCUUCUUUUCAUUCCCAUUAAAAUUAUUGCAUUUGUAUUGAUUUCACUACAUAAUCAGUUAAUAUCCAAUGAUUGCUUUGCCAUGAUAGGACUUCUAAUAGAGACUCUCAUUACCAAGAGAAGGUUACCAAGGACUGCAGAAAUUCCUCAAAGUCCAGACUGUUUAGAAACAUUCUAGAAAUGCAUUUCUCUCUGUUAGCUUUCCCAGGCUGACUGUUUCUUUACUUGUUCUGCACAAGGUUAAAAGAAGGGCUAUGGGUCAGGAUUGCACUUCAUUCUGUACAUAUUUUAGCCUGUAAGAUUUCUAAGAAAGUUUUCACACUUUUGAAAAUCCAAUGUACUAGAGAGAUAUUAGGAGCUUUAGUCUGGUUUGCUCUGUUCACACACUAUGCUUCUGUAUUUCAUAUCCCUUAUAUGAGUUUGCUAGAGGCAUAGGAGCCGCAAAGGCCCUUUCUCAGAGGUGCAGUUUGCAGACAACUCCAUGCUGAGGAGAGAUGAUGCAAAGCACAAAGCUUCUGAGGAACCCUGAUGGCACCACACGGAACUUUGGCAGACCUGUGGAGUGGGAAGUCAAGCAGGCAGCCAGAAGCACCACAGCCAGAAGAGAAACAGGAGGAGGAUGUGGAAAUAAUUGAAAAUCCCUGGGUUCCAGAAAGUCAGUAGAGAACAUGCCAGCACCCUUAAGCUAAGGAGGGACCUGGGAGAGGGCGCAGUUUGCAUAUUUGGAAGAAGAGAGGGAAGUGCACGUUAAUAAGACAGUGUGAAGGUCUGUGAACUGCAGGAGAGGCACCCUAGGUGGGAACCACACCCUACCUCUAAUUCCCUCCUCUAAUCUGGCUGCAGCAGAAGCUCACACAGAAACCCUUCUUCAGCCCCCCUUACUGCCAGCCAGCUCCACGUCACUUUGGGGAUCUACAAACAGCCAAAAUGUGAAGCAUGGAUGGUUUGUGCCUGUUGUGUUUUGCGUCAGC
rnacentral:lncRNA from 14 species